GCGGCGUUGGUCCAGUGGCUAAGACACGACCUUGCCAGGGCAGAGUGGUCGUAACCGGGGUUCAAAUCCCCGACGCCGCA
rnacentral:tRNA from 1 species